GACGAACCGUGCGAACGUUGUUCGGAAUCACUGGGCUUAAAGGGCGCGUAGGCGGCUUGCCAAGUCAGGGGUGAAAUCUUUCGGCUUAACCGGAAAAGUGCCUUUGAUACUGGCAGGCUUGAGGGAGGUAGGGGCAUGUGGAACUUCCGGUGGAGCGGUGAAAUGCGUUGAUAUCGGAAGGAACGCCGGUGGCGAAAGCGAUGUGCUGGACCUCUUCUGACGCUGAGGCGCGAAAGCUAGGGGAGCGAACGGG
rnacentral:rRNA from 1 species